GCGCCAGCAGCCGCGGUAAUACGUAGGGUGCAAGCGUUAAUCGGAAUUACUGGGCGUAAAGCGUGCGCAGGCGGUUUUGUAAGACAGUGGUGAAAUCCCCGGGCUCAACCUGGGAACUGCCAUUGUGACUGCAAGGCUGGAGUGCGGCAGAGGGGGAUGGAAUUCCGCGUGUAGCAGUGAAAUGCGUAGAUAUGCGGAGGAACACCGAUGGCGAAGGCAAUCCCCUGGGCCUGCACUGACGCUCAUGCACGAAAGCGUGGGGAGCAAACAGGAUUAGAUACCCUGGUAGUCC
rnacentral:rRNA from 1 species